UGAGAUACUCAAGAUGGCGAGUAAAGUG
rnacentral:piRNA from 1 species